rnacentral:misc_RNA from 1 species
GGACAAGAAAGGCGACAAAACAAAGGGUGAGCUGAUGCUUGCAGUAUGGAUCGGUACCCAAGCUGAUGAGGCUUUCCCCGAAGCAUGGCACUCUGAUGCAGCGGCACCUUCAGAUUCACCCGGUCUUGGUUCUCACAUACGAUCGAAGGUUUACCAUGCACCCAGGCUAUGGUAUGUGCGAGUCAAUAUCAUAGAAGCACAGGAUAUCAUAAUAGCAGAGAAGACUCGUUUCCCGGAUGUUUAUGUGAAGG